UGGCCUUGAGGAUCCAGCAAGAGGUGGGAGU
rnacentral:piRNA from 1 species